rnacentral:rRNA from 1 species
UAGAGUUUGAUCCAUGGCUCAGGACGAACGCUGGCGGCGUGCUUAACACAUGCAAGUCGAACGGUAAGGCCCUUCGGGGUACACGAGUGGCGAACGGGUGAGUAACACGUGGGUGAUCUGCCCUGCACUUUGGGAUAAGCCUGGGAAACUGGGUCUAAUACCGAAUACACCCUGCUGGUCGCAUGGCCUGGUGGGGGAAAGCUUUUGCGGUGUGGGAUGGGCCCGCGGCCUAUCAGCUUGUUGGUGGGGUGAUGGCCUACCAAGGCGACGACGGGUAGCCGGCCUGAGAGGGUGACCGGCCACACUGGGACUGAGAUACGGCCCAGACUCCUACGGGAGGCAGCAGUGGGGAAUAUUGCACAAUGGGCGCAAGCCUGAUGCAGCGACGCCGCGUGAGGGAUGACGGCCUUCGGGUUGUAAACCUCUUUCAAUAGGGACGAAGCGCAAGUGACGGUACC